AUUGUAGUCUGCAACCCGACUACAUGAAGCCGGAAUCGCUAGUAAUCGCGGAUCAGAAUGCCGCGGUGAAUACGUUCCCGGGUCUUGUACACACCGCCCGUCACACCAUGGGAGUCGGGAAUGCCCGAAGUCAGUGACCCAACCCAAGGGAGGGAGCUGCCGAAGGCAGGCCUGGUGACUGGGGUGAAGUCGUAACAAGGUACC
rnacentral:rRNA from 1 species